ACGUAGGGUGCAAGCGUUGUCCGGAAUCAUUGGGCGUAAGGCGCGCGUAGGUGGUCCUGUAAGUCCGCUGUGAAAGUCAAAGGCUCAACCUUUGAAAGCCGGUGGAUACUGCGGGACUAGAGUACGGAAGAGGCGAGUGGAAUUCCUGGUGUAGCGGUGGAAUGCGCAGAUAUCAGGAGGAACACCAAUAGCGAAGGCAGCUCGCUGGGACGUUACUGACACUGAGGCGCGAAAGCGUGGGGAGCGAACAGGA
rnacentral:rRNA from 1 species